rnacentral:rRNA from 1 species
GUAGGGGGUUUCCGCCCUUUAGUGCUGCAGCUAACGCAUUAAGCACUCGCUGGGGAGUACGACCGCAAGGUUGAAACUCAAGGGAAUUGACGGGGGCCCGCACAAGCGGUGGAGCAUGUGGUUUAAUUCGAAGCAACGCGAAGAACCUUACCAGGUCUUGACAUCCUUUGACAACUCUAGAGAUAGAGCUUUCCCUUCGGGGACAAAGUGACAGGUGGUGCAUGGUUGUCGUCAGCUCGUGUCGUGAGAUGUUGGGUUAAGUCCCGCAACGAGCGCAACCCUUAUUGUUAGUUGCCAUCAUUCAGUUGGGCACUCUAGCGAAACUGCCGGUGACAAACCGGAGGAAGGUGGGGAUGACGUCAAAUCAUCAUGCCCCUUAUGACCUGGGCUACACACGUGCUACAAUGGACAGUACAAUGAGCAGCGACACGGCGACGUGAAGCGAAUCUCAUAAAGCUGUUCUCAGUUCGGAUUGUAGGCUGCAACUCGCCUACAUGAAGCCGGAAUCGCUAGUAAUCGCGGAUCAGCACGCCGCGGUGAAUACGUUCCCGGGCCUUGUACACACCGCCCGUCACACCACGAAAGUUUGUAACACCCAAAGUCGGUGAGGUAACCUUCGGGAGCCAGCCGCCUAAGGUGGGAUAGAUGAUUGGGGUGAAGUCGUAACAAGGUAACCA